rnacentral:rRNA from 1 species
GAUGAACGCUGGCGGCGUGCCUAAUACAUGCAAGUCGAGCGAACAGACGAGGAGCUUGCUCCUCUGACGUUAGCGGCGGACGGGUGAGUAACACGUGGAUAACCUACCUAUAAGACUGGGAUAACUUCGGGAAACCGGAGCUAAUACCGGAUAAUAUAUUGAAUCGCAUGGUUCAAUAGUGAAAGACGGUUUUGCUGUCCCUUAUAGAUGGAUCCGCGCCGCAUUAGCUAGUUGGUAAGGUAACGGCUUACCAAGGCAACGAUGCGUAGCCGACCUGAGAGGGUGAUCGGCCACACUGGAACUGAGACACGGUCCAGACUCCUACGGGAGGCAGCAGUAGGGAAUCUUCCGCAAUGGGCGAAAGCCUGACGGAGCAACGCCGCGUGAGUGAUGAAGGUCUUCGGAUCGUAAAACUCUGUUAUUAGGGAAGAACAAAUGUGUAAGUAACUAUGCACGUCUUGACGGUACCUAAUCAGAAAGCCACGGCUAACUACGUG